AUAACAUAUUAAGAUAUGCGAUACUUAAACAGAAAAACUAGACGAUAAUCUUGCUGAAUUGGUGAAAUUUAUUCAUGUGUUGAUGCUAUGAUACAUUUUUGUUCAGUUAUAUAAUAUUUACUGUUAUUAAGGUCGAAAAGAGCUGCCAAUUAUCGUGAUACACAUGGAAAUGUCUCAGAUAUGGACAAGGUGCGUCGGUGGCGCGAAGGUCUGGCUUCGGAUACAUUCCCCAAAAGAUGGACACCGCGUAAUUGGAGGGACCUUUCCACAGGACCUGCGAUGUUUAGACAUGGCGAAAACGAAUCUGCCUACAGCCAGCCGUAUUAUGGAUCCCAUGCUAGACCAACAUACAGCACUAA